rnacentral:rRNA from 1 species
GACGAACGCUGGCGGCGUGCUUAACACAUGCAAGUCGAGCGAGAGCCAGCUGAGGGGUAACCCUCGGCUGGGGACAGCGGCGAACGGGUGCGUAACACGUGGGCAACCUGCCCCUGACACUGGGAUAACCCCGGGAAACCGGAGCUAAUACCGGAUACUCUCGGCCGAUCACAUGGCUGGCCGAGGAAAGGUCCGCCGGUCAGGGAUGGGCCCGCGGCCUAUCAGCUUGUUGGUGAGGUAACGGCCCACCAAGGCGACGACGGGUAGCUGGUCUGAGAGGACGACCAGCCACACUGGAACUGAGAUACGGUCCAGACUCCUACGGGAGGCAGCAGUGGGGAAUAUUGCACAAUGGGCGAAAGCCUGAUGCAGCGACGCCGCGUGAGGGAUGAAGGCCU